rnacentral:rRNA from 1 species
GAUGAACGCUGGCGGCGUGCCUAAUACAUGCAAGUCGAGCGAACAGACGAGGAGCUUGCUCCUCUGACGUUAGCGGCGGACGGGUGAGUAACACGUGGAUAACCUACCCAUAAGACUGGGAUAACUUCGGGAAACCGGAGCUAAUGCCGGAUAAUAUAUUGAACCGCAUGGUUCAAUAGUGAAAGACGGUUUUGCUGUCACUUAUAGAUGGAUCCGCGCCGCAUUAGCUAGUUGGUAAGGUAACGGCUUACCAAGGCAACGAUGCGUAGCCGACCUGAGAGGGUGAUCGGCCACACUGGAACUGAGACACGGUCCAGACUCCUACGGGAGGCAGCAGUAGGGAAUCUUCCGCAAUGGGCGAAAGCUUGACGGAGCAACGCCGCGUGAGUGAUGAAGGUCUUCGGAUCGUAAAACUCUGUUAUUAGGGAAGAACAAAUGUGUAAGUAACUAUGCACGUCUUGACGGUACCUAAUCAGAAAGCCACGGCUAACUACGUG